AGAGAGAGAGAGAGAGAGAGAGAGGGAGAGAUGGUAGAGUUUUUGCAAAAUGGUACAAAUUUUCCUGUCUUAGUAAAUAACAAAUGAAUGAAAGGAAUGAAUUCAAUUAACAUCCAAUCUCCGAAUGGCCCCAGAUAUUUUCAUUUGCUUCUGAAGAGCUCACCUGUGCUUGUUUCUCAUACACUUACUCUGCAAUAAGCUUCAAUCGCUUUCAUAAUCUUCUUCAUCUCCAAAACUGAAAACUGAAGCAUCAGCAGCAAUUGCCUUAAUUUCAUUCACCCCUACAGAAUCCAGGCUUGGAACCUCAAGGCCUGAGGCAGGUUUCUCAAUCCUAUCAGUAGUUGGCCGAUCUGAAGCAUUAAUAAGGGAAGGUUCUCGACUCCCAAGCAACAUUUGCUCAGUUCCAUGUGUUAAGCUCCUCAUUUGCUCUGUUGAGAUACUAGAUGUGUGACUAGAUUGAGUGGAUCCUACUCCAGGGCCAGUAGCUUGCCUGCUUUUUGGAGAACUGGUUUCUUCUCCCUCACUAUCCGAAAAUACAUCAUCUUCAUUCUCGGCAACUUUUUUUCGGUAAGAAUUAGUCUCAACUCCACCACUUGGUUUCAGAGUAUAACCUGUACUUGUAGUACCAUCAGAUCCUUUGGUGGCAGAAUCACCUUUAGAACUUGUUGGCAAAGUACCAUCAUAAUCUAUCAUCACAACUUCAACUUGAAACCCUGGUGAAGGCAGUUUUCUCUUGUCAAAACCAUCAAGAUCAGACGCAUUUAGUGUUUUUCUAUUCUCGGUCAUCGUUGUAUUUAACCAACAGUAGAAAUCUCCUUGGCGAUCAUGAAAAUGGAUUUUGAAGUCUCCAACCAACUCUGUCAGGCCCGGCUCCCCCGGUAGAGCAAAUACAACAAUCCCUUUCUUCGGUGCACUAAUCCAGAAAUCUUCAGGCAUUAAAUCCUUAGUUUUGGGAUGCUUUUUGCUUGAGAACAGAACCCCAAAAUGAUUUGAUAUGGUAAUAGAGGGCCUUGUCCAAUAAGGGCAUUUGUGAAGCCGAAAUCCCCUAAGCAUGCACCUACGCCCUGGUUGGUUUUCGCCAUUGAAGUAUGUUAAGAUGCGUUCAAAGUAUUUUACAUAUCUAAUUUGACUUGGCAGAACAAGCCCUUUUCCAUCAAAACAUCUCUUCUGGUUGUAGUAGUCAAUGGACUCUUCAGCAGUAGGAAAGAACUAGAGAAAGAUGGCAAAUUAUUCUACUAUUUAAAGACUCAAUGGUAAAAGAAAAGUGUAACCAGAUAUUCCACCAAACUUGUCUUCAUUCAAGAGCAUAAAGGGAAAAAACAAGAGCACCUUUAAGUAUAAAAGAAGGCUAGAAAUCAUCAGCCCUGUCCUUGCCAUUCCAGCCUUACAGUGCACCACAACAACAUUAUCAAUAUCCUCCUUCAACCACGAGUACGCACUUUGACAAAACGAUAUUAUCAGUUGAAUUGGUGGACAAUUGUGGUCAUCAAAUGGAAAACUAGCUACCUUUCCUUCAAACAACGAUGCAUCAUACAGCCUCUCAGAACAAAGAUUGUAUACUUUGUACUUGCCCUUGUGAUGAGUUUCAAAAAACUUAAUCACUUCUUCCAUGUGGUUUCGAUACAAUCCCUCAACAUAUCCAAAAAAACCAGAGCUCAUAUCACCAGCAGGAAAUCCCAUGGCAAUUAUAUUCUCUGUUAUAUAUGUCAUAUCCAAAUCAAAACCUCCUUCCUGGUAUCUUCGCUUAUUUUGGGAGACAGCAUGCCUAGCCUUGACUUGUACUGCCUUUACUGCAUUCUUAGAUGUAUCAACAAAGCCUUUAGUGAUUGUUCCAAUAAAACCAGGUUGGGAAGUUGUUGAAGUUCCUUCAGAACUAUCAUCAGCUGGAGGGGAUUUUGGAGACAUGCGCAGUCCAAAACCACCAGUAAAACGAGCAAAACUUGAUUUUCCAGAAUUUCCAGUUGGUGACUCAUCUUGUGAGGAAGACGAUGGCUGGGGAAUUUUCAAACUUUUUGCCCAUGAAGCUAUGCCAGCUGCAGAUAACUUAGAAGGUGCAUCACGUGGGGAAUUAUCUGUUCCAGGAUCUGUGGCAGUAGGAGGUUGUACAUUGGGAGCUUUAACAGAUGGAGUUGAUGAAUCAACAGAUCCAGAAUCCAUUCUUCUGACACAAAUAUCUCGAUGAUUACUCACAGAAACUACAAGCGGAGCAAAAGCCACCAGUUGAGUGAAGCUGAAUUAGCCAAUUAGGGUUCACAGAGAGAAAAAGAGAGAGACAGAUAGUCAAUUAUUGUAAUUAUCAGUUCAGAGGCGUUG
rnacentral:misc_RNA from 1 species